UACGUAGGGUGCGAGCGUUGUCCGGAAUACUGGGCGUAAAGCGUGCGCAGGCGGUCUUUUUAAGUCAGAUGUGAAAUCCCCCGGGCUUAACCUGGGAACUGCGUUUGAAACUGGAAGGCUAGAGUGUGGCAGAGGGGGGUGGAAUUCCACGGUGUAGCAGUGAAAUGCGUAGAUAAUGUGGAGGAACACCGAUGGCGAAGGCAGCCCCCUGGGCUAACACUGACGCCUCAUGCACGAAAGCGUGGGGAGCAAACAGGG
rnacentral:rRNA from 1 species